GUUCAGAGGAGCUCAGCUCUGGGGGAGAGCUCAAAGCCGACACCUAUUGAGUUGCAGUUAAAAUGAGGGCGAAAAAGGCUUUUGUUUCAGUUCUGCAGAUGGUCUGGGAGUUUGUGUUUCUUAGCAAGAAUUUUCUAGACGUUUUGGCUUGAACCAUCUGAAAAACUGCCUCAAGCUUUUGCAUGGUUCCCACUGGGUGGGCUGGGUUGGGAGGGGCUGUCGUGCAUGGUCCGGGAAAGCUGGAGAAGGCUGUUCCUUCACCCCGAGCCUUGGAUUUCUUAUCUGUGAAAUGGGAGGCUGCAAUGAUGAAUGGCAAAGUACCUUUUUUUUUCAGCUCUGAAAGUCUAGGAUAUUUUGCCACUGGAAGACCAGCAGACAAUGUCAUGACAACUCAAGAGGAUACAACAGGGCUGCAUCAAAAGACAAGUCUUUGGACCAUGUCAAGACCUGGAGCGAAGAAGGUAAUGAACUCCUACUUCAUAGCAGGCUGUGGGCCAGCAGUUUGCUACUACGCUGUCUCUUGGUUAAGGCAAGGUUUCAGUAUCAACCUGACUUCUUUUGGAAGGAUCCCUUGGCCUCACGCUGGAGUGGGCACCUGCCCUAGCCCACAGAGCUGGAUUUCUCCCUUUCUUCAAUCACACAGGGAGCACCACUAUGCAAAGACCUCAUCACAUUCACAGCCGUCUCCGCAGAGCCUCGCACUGUGCUUGGCAUAUAGCAGGUGCUCAAUAAAUAUCUGCCAAAUGACUGAAUGCAUCUCGCUAGCCUCAGGAUGCCACCAGGCCCUGAGGGAGCCAGGAAGAUCAGAGGAAAGCUUUUGGAUUCCUGCCACACCUUACAUUAGCAACAUCUUCUCCGAGUCCUGACAGCCAGCCUCCUGGGACACCAUUCAAGCCAGCUGAAUUCCGGUCACCGCUUCACCUUGGAAAGGCAUCCGCAGCCCUCACCAAGCGGCCCCGUAAUUGACGUCACAGCGGGGCCAGGAGCUGCCCUGUUAAUAUUUAAUGUGGCCUUCACUGCGCAAAAUGCAGCCUCUAAGAGCUGGAGGGGCCGUGCAGAGUCUCCAUGGGGUUGUGAGGAGGGCACAGAAGGGAAAGGGCUUUAUAAACCAUAAAGCGCCCAACAGAUGAGCAUUCUGCCGACCCAUUUCAGUCCCUGGCUUAACUCAGAAAGAGCCGGGGCUGCACAUGCCUGCAGUGGGACAAGAAGACUGCUGACCAAGCCCGAACACUAAAUCAAUGGGGGAUUAGGGGCUCCUGGGUACAUUCCAUUGAGACAGCGGGAGAGCAGAGCACUGGUGCCAGCCCAACCUGGACUCCACUCCAGGUUUGCCCCCUGCACAGCUGUGUGACUGGGUCAGCAAGUGCACUGCUGAGCCUCAGUCCCCCUUAUCUGUGAAAUGGGAAUGAUGCUUUCCUUGUAGCACUGCUGUGAAGAUUCAAUGAAACGAGUGAUGCCGAA